ensembl:lncRNA
GCAGUUCUGAGCUCAAAGAGCUUUAUUUGGAACAUAGAAAAAGAGAAAAGCAGAUUUCUGAAAAUCACAGCCAUGACUCCUGUAAGAGGAAUGUGGAAUAUUUCUUUUACCUAUCACCCAGGGAGCCCAGCCUGGCAUUGCAUGUGUGUGUUUAGUGCUCUGUGAAGGAAGAGACAUCCAGCGACUCCCUUCAAGGGUCACGUGGACUGAACCCCUGGAUGUCAGUUGCAGUUCCUGUCCAAUCAAUCAGUGGAGUUCAGGAAUCAGAGGCACAUCUCCUUACCUGAGUGACUGUCAGCCCCACUUCGAAGCCCAAGUUCUGAUUGCAGUUUCCCCGUGUAUAUGGAGAGAAAGACAUAUUGAUUUUGGCACCUCUAGUCAAACGUCAUGGGAAGUAUGGUGUGCUUAGUUCUGUACUGAGUUCCUGCUUAACUCCCCAGGUUUUACCCAUGUAUGGCAACCCCAAAGCCCUGCAAACACGUUAAACACUAUAAAACCAAUGGGUUAAAGGCAACUGAGUUCAACCUAUUGGAAUGUGGCCAUAGCAUAGUAAAUCAUUUGUGUGAGCUUUACUUAUUAUAAAAUGACAAUAUAAUACUUAAUAAAUAUUUUAAAAGGAAAAUAUUCCUUAGAAUU